AUUUUGCAGGUUGAUUUGCCAACCGGAGCCAAAAUGCAUUUAUCCGGUGCCAACUACAUGUGAAAUGAAGCACGCACAAUGCGUUGGUGAUGCCCCAAACCACCAACACUUCUAUAACUUCCAAUAGCAUAAGGAUAAGUAACUCUACUUCUUCAUCAAGGGUCGGUGGUAUUUUGUGAAUAUUAUCACGCCUGAGCCAACCAAAAAAAUAAAAGCAUAGAAGCCGGCCUAAAUGAGGAAUUUGCAUUGCGGAAAUAGCGAAGCCAUAAAAGCUCAAAAACCAAAGCAAGAGAGCGAAAGAAACAUAUAAAAAGGAAAGAAAGAAAUCAUU